GCCCAGGUGGCGGAAUUGGUAGACGCGCUAGCUUCAGGUGCUAGUGCCCGCAAGGGCUGGAAGUUCGGUCUUCUCCUGGGCACCA
rnacentral:tRNA from 1 species